GAGCUUGCUUCGGCAGCACAUAUACUAAUAUCGGAAUGAUACAGAGAAGAUUAGCAUGGCCCCUGUGCAAGGAUGACGUGCAAAUUUGUGAAGCGUUCCAUAUUUUU